GGGGCGGCCCUGGGACGCACUCCGCCUCCCAGAGCGACCUCCGUACUUCCAGGGCUCUUGGGAUACAACUUGGAGACCCAGUUGAAGUUAAUGUCUGAAUUGCUGGUGGUUUCCUUUCUGGCCACACCGUCUCAAAUGAGAGGUUCCUGGUUGUCAGCCAACAACUGCUUAUAGGCUCUCUCAGAUAUCUGGAAAAUCCAUAUGAAGACACUCAAUUGAAGGAGUGGGUUUAAAUCCUGCAGGUGGAAUGGAACUGCAACCGGUUGC